CCUUUCAGGUGGGGGAACAACAGUUAGGAAACGACUGACUAAUACCGCAUAAUACUUUCGAGCGGCAUUCGUUUGAAAGUCAAAGAUUUAUUGCUGAAAGAUGGCCUCGCGUCUGAUUAGCUAGUUGGUGAGGUAACGGCCCACCAAGGCGACGAUCAGUAGCCGGUCUGAGAGGAUGAACGGCCACAUUGGGACUGAGAUACGGCCCAGACUCCUACGGGGAGGCAGCGGGUGGGGAAUAUUGGGCAAGUGGGGGAAACCCUGACCCAGCAACGCCGCGUGAAGGAAGAAGGCUUUCGGGUUGUAAACUUCUUUUACCAGGGACGAAGAAAGUGACGGUACCUGGAGAAAAAGCCACGGCUAACUACGUG
rnacentral:rRNA from 1 species